rnacentral:rRNA from 1 species
UACGUAGGGGGCAAGCGUUGUCCGGAUUUAUUGGGCGUAAAGCGCGUGUAGGUGGCCAUGUAGGUCCGCUGUGAAAACUUGAGGCUCAACCUCAAGCUGUCGGUGGAAACCGUCUGGCUAGAGUCCGGAAGAGGAGAGUGGAAUUCCUGGUGUAGCGGUGAAAUGCGCAGAUAUCAGGAAGAACACCCGUGGCGAAAGCGGCUCUCUGGGACGGUACUGACGCUGAGACGCGAAAGCGUGGGGAGCGAACAGG